AGCGGAGGAAAAGAAACUAACAAGGAUUCCCUCAGUAAUGGCGAAUGAACAGGGAAAAGCUCAAAUUUAAAAUCGUAAUUUUUCAAAUUACGAAUUGUAAUUUAAAGAAAAUUAAUUAUAGUAAUAAAGCAUAUUAAAGUUGGCUGGAAAGCUACUACAGAGAAGGUGAUAUACCUGUAACUGAUAUGAUUUUAUUAUUAAAAUAUUAACUUUCAAAGAGUCAGGUUGCUUGGGACUGCAGCCUAAAAUGGGAGGUAAAUUUCUUCUAAAGCUAAAUAUUGGUAAGAGACCGAUAGCGAACAAGUACCGUGAGGGAAAGAUGAAAUAGAACCUUGAAAAGGGGUUUAAAAGGAAGUGAAAUUGUUAAAAGGGAAACGCUUAAAAUGGGUAAAAAUAUUAUUAAAAGAAAUGUUUUUAAAUAUUUUAAUUAAUAAUGUUUAUGGUUAAUAGUAAUUUUUAAUGAUAUAAACGAUUAUUAUAAAGGUAUGUUGAAUUUUAUUUAACAACUUAUAGUAUAAUAAUAAUAAUAUUUUUAAAGAUUAUUUUUAUAAAUUAUAAAAUGAUAUUAAAUUUAUUGAAAUUAAUUAAAUGGUUUACCUUUUAAUUUUUGGCUAUGAAGAUUUAAUUUUAUUUAAAAAUUUAU
rnacentral:rRNA from 1 species